GACUACAGGGGUAUCUAAUCCUGUUUGCUCCCCACGCUUUCGUGCCUCAGCGUCAAACAAGGCCCAGCAAGCUGCCUUCGCAAUCGGUGUUCUAUGACAUAUCUAUGCAUUUCACCGCUACAUGUCACAUUCCGCUUACCUCAACCUGUUUCAAGCAAAGCAGUAUCAAUCGCAGUCCCACCGGUUGAGCCGGGGAAUUUCACAACUGACUUACCUCGCCGCCUACGCACCCUUUAAACCCAGUGAUUCCGGAUAACGCUCGCACCCUCCGUAUUACCGCGGCUGCUGGCACGGAGUUAGCCGGUGCUUAUUCUGAUGGUACCUUCAAGCCCCGAUAAAUCGAGGUUAUUAUCCCCAUCCAAAAGAAGUUUACAACGCUGAGCGCCUUCGUCCUUCACGCGGCAUGGCUGGAUCAGUCUUCCGGCCAUUGUCCAAUAUUCCUUACUGCAGCCUCCCGUAGG
rnacentral:rRNA from 1 species